rnacentral:tRNA from 1 species
UCCUCAGGUAGUUAAGUUAGGCAUAACACCCCCCUUGCAAAGGGGAAGACGAGGGUUCAAAUCCCUCCCUGAU